UUUCCCUCAGGAUAGCUGGCACUCGCUUGAGCGAGUCUCAUCUGGUAAAGCGAAUGAUUAGAGGCCUUGGGGCCGAAACGACCUCAACCUAUUCUCAAACUUUAAAUGGGUGAGAUCUCUGGCUUGCUUGAAAGUUGAAGCCACGAGAUUAAUUUUUGAAAAAUGGAUCAGAGUGCCAAGUGGGCCAAUUUUGGUAAGCAGAACUGGCGCUGUGGGA
rnacentral:rRNA from 1 species